rnacentral:lncRNA from 13 species
CUUAUGACUGUCACUGCCCUGACACACAGCCCUGUAAUUAUUUGUCUGCAUGUCUGUAGCUCUGUUUUUUCAAAAAUUUCUCUUUAAGUCUCCAGCUUCUAGCACAGCACUUGGCACAGAGCGUUUGCCAAGUACAAAGUACGCGUUUGCGUAGUUAAAGCUCUUGGGAUCGGGCUGCUCUGACCUCAGCUGAACAUGCUUGUCAAAAGCCCCAGAGUCCCCUGGGCAUGACAGAGUUUGGGGCACACUUAGGGAGAGGGCCCUACAGACCUCUGGGCUCGCUGUCUGUAGAGGCCUGGGCCACAGUCCCGGAGUAACCAGUGGGCAGGGGCUGCCCUUUGACAUCCUGUUCAGCUGUGGUUGUCGUCAGCCUGUUUGGUGAUAGAAGAGGGACAGCUGGAGUCCAUGGGGAUGAGGAGCAACAUUCUCAGCAAACCAUCCAACGGCAACUCCUGUGAUCACAAAAGUCAAGCACUGAUGGAAAUGAAGACCACAACCCCAAUUCCUCAGGUCGGUGCUUUUCAAACCAUGUUUCUCAGAGCUCCAGGAAUAACAGUUCUAGGGAGAGGUUCGAGGUUUUUUUUUUUUUUUUUUGGAGACAGAAUGUUGCCCUUUCACCCAAUCUGGAGUGCAAUGGCAUGAUCUCGGCUCACACUGCAACCUCUGCCUCCCAGGUUCAAGCAAUUCUCAUGCCUCAGCCUCCUGAGUAGCUGGGACUAUAGGUGCACACCAGCACAC